rnacentral:rRNA from 1 species
CAGUCGCCGCGGUAAUACGAAGGGGGCUAGCGUUGUUCGGAAUUACUGGGCGUAAAGGGCGCGUAGGCGGCCAUUCAAGUUAGAUGUGAAAGCCCUGGGCUCAACCUAGGAAUUGCAUUUGAUACUGUUUGGCUUGAGUUCGGGAGAGGUGAGUGGAAUUCCCAGUGUAGAGGUGAAAUUCGUAGAUAUUGGGAAGAACACCAGUGGCGAAGGCGGCUCACUGGACCGACACUGACGCUGAGGCGCGAAAGCGUGGGGAGCAAACAGGAUUAGAUACCCCGGUAGUCCCUGUCUCUUAUAC